rnacentral:rRNA from 1 species
AAAUAAUUCAACGGCCGCAGUAUUUUGACUGUGCUAAGGUAGCAUAGUAGUUUGUCUCCUAAUUAGAGUCUAGUAUGAAAGAUAAAAUAAAUUCUAGCUUUCCUUCUUUUAAAAAUUUAACUUUAUUAUUGAGUUAAAAAGCUCAAAUACAUAAAAAAGACGACAAGACCCUAUGAAAUUUUAUUAAAAUGAGAUCUUUCUUAUAAUUUACAUAGAAUCAGCUUGAUUUCAAAAUAAUUUAGUUGGGGCGACUUUAAUUCAAAAAUAAGCAAUUAAAAUUCUUUAAUAAAAAAGUUUAAAUUUAUCUAGAACCUUAUUAGUUUAUUUGACUAAAUUACUCUAGGGAUAACAGCGUAAUUUCUUUGGAGAGCUCUUAUUGAUAAAGAA